rnacentral:lncRNA from 1 species
GUUUCCCCUAUCAGGGCUGUCUCGCCACGGAGGAUCUUAUUUUGAUAACUGAGCGUUUUGAGCAUCGUCUCUGGCCCUGUGAGUUAGAGUUUCUCAAACUCCUUCUUGGAAUGAGGUGCGAUACAAGCAAACAGACGCACGAGUGGCCUUACAAACACCUCCGCGGCAGUCGGACGAGGGACACCCCCACCCCGACCCCACGGCCUCCCAUACACCCGGGUUCUUGGACAAUAUCUGCGUCCAUAAAGAUUCAUCCAGGGCGCUGCCCAGCCCCUAAAAUGAUGCUCUCUCGUUCUUUCUGCUUGGGGAUCUGCUCCUGACUGCCUUAAUCUCCAAGGCCAGCUGCCUCGAGAAAUAACAUCACAUUUCCCCACGGACCUCACUUCCCCUCCGUAUAAGUCACACUGGGGCAAGAGCUGAAAAUUAUGGCUGUUUCAUAAAUCGGUAACGUGCUUGGAAGAUGGGGGCCCAGCUGCAGAGCACAUGAGUUCAGGCUCCUGCCCCAGCCUCAUGUUUCACGAUGACCUCAGCUUCCUGUGUCAAUGGGAACCCAUGCGAGCUUUAUGGCACCUUUGAAGAAACAAAAGCUUUACAGAGAAAAGGCUGGUUUGGCAGAGGAGCCUGGCUUCCCCCCUUCAGCCCACUUUCCUGUGUUCCUGGAGCUUUUCUCUCUUUCAGCAAACAAAGCGCUUCUAGGUGCUGAACGGAGGCUGCAUCUCCUCUCCUCUCUCCUCUCUCCUUGCUUCUCUCCCCCAUCUCUUGGAUACUUCUGGAAAAACGAACAUUUUACGAAUGCCAUGUGUGCUGCUGGGUGCUUGGUCUCCCCCUUUUUCUCUGUCCCCCUCUUUCUCCCCCCAUUCUCCCUGUCUCUCUCCCCCCGCUUCUAUCUUGUUCUCCAUCUCUCCCCCUCUCUCCCCACCUCUCUCUUCCCCCCUCCCUGUUUCUCCCUGAUGUAAUGUCUCUGAGUUUGUCUGGCUCCAGCUGUCCUCCUGCGAAACGGAGAGGAAGCAAGGGGGGCGGUCAGUUUGAGAAGACGAUCUUGACGUUAUUCAUAAGACCCCAUUUCGUUCCAGCAGCUUUGUCGAACCCACGAUAGGAUAGCGGGGCUUCAAUGGAUUCUCUCGCUUGAUGGAUCAAAUUUAGUUUUCUCCUGGCUGUUCUUCAUGGGGAGACAUUUGAAAUCUGCAGGCAGACAGAGCCAACUGGGCAGAAAGUUUGGAAUUCUGAAAUGCUGCUGAAUUAAGUCAGGGACCGGCUUAGCUAAUUUGCUGAUUUACUCAACUUGACCCAAAUGAAUUUCUGUGUAAACGAAAUUUAUGAAGAAGUCUCUGAAUAAUUCUAUUAAAUGAAAUGCCAGGCUUUUAUUUUCCAUUUUAUGACAUUUUCUGAACACUGUGUAUUCCAAUCAUAUUGAAACAUUUUGUUUUCAGGCUCUGUAGAAAGUGCUGAUGGUUGAACCUCAAAAGAAUUGAAGGGUUAGUUCAUAAAUGAAUAAAAAGCCAGCGGCAUUUAUCCA